CAGUAGCCACGGUAAUACGAAGGGGGCUAGCGUUGUUCGGAUUUACUGGGCGUAAAGCGCACGUAGGCGGACUUUUAAGUCAGGGGUGAAAUCCCGGGGCUCAACCCCGGAACUGCCUUUGAUACUGGAAGUCUUGAGUAUGGUAGAGGUGAGUGGAAUUCCGAGUGUAGAGGUGAAAUUCGUAGAUAUUCGGAGGAACACCAGUGGCGAAGGCGGCUCACUGGACCAUUACUGACGCUGAGGUGCGAAAGCGUGGGGAGCAAACAGGAUUAGAGACCCGUGUAGUCCCUGUCUCUUAUAC
rnacentral:rRNA from 1 species